AGGCUCUCGCACUGCACCAGAUUGACGUAGUCGCCCUGCCGCAGCACGCCCGCCUUGAAGCCGCGCACCAACCCCUCCAGGUAGCCGUUGUCGACGUUGAAGUAGAGCUCCGGGAAGCACGACAUGAUGGCGACGGCGGCUACGGGACCGGCGGCGCCGCCUCACGUGACCCCGCGCUCACGUGACGCAGCUGUCAGUGCCCCACUUCCGCUUCCGGCGGGCUCUGCGCGGGUGGGGAGGGCUGAGGUGGCGUGAGGUGAAGGGGCUCCGUCGUCCCUCAGUGCGGGGUUGGUGCUAUGAACCCCUCCCUGAGCCCUCAGCCGUGACUUUAAGGCUUUUCACGCUGUCGUGGCCCCCUCCCCAGCUGUGUUCGCUGCCAUCUCGGAGUGUUUGAGCUGUUUGGGUGGGGUAACACCCUGUGGUUGAUGGGGGAGGGGGUGCAGAGGGGACCGCGGAGAGGCCCAGAGGGCGGGAGCGGCUCUCCUGUGGAGAAAGGCUGAGGGAGCUGGGCUUUGUCAGCCUGGGGAAGAGAAGGCUGCGGGGACACCUCACUGUGGCUUUCCAGUGCUUGAGGGGAGCUUACCAGCCGGAGAGGGGCUGACUUUUUACACAGUUUGAUAGUGAUAGGACAAGGGAAAAUGGCUCUAAACAGAGUGGGACUGUAGGUUAGGUGUCAGGAAGAAAUCCUUCCCUCAGAGGACGGUGAGGCGCUGGCACUGCUGCUUAGAGCUGUGGGUGCCCAUCCCUGGGGGUACUGAAGGCCAUGGAUGGGCUCUGGGCAGCCCGAGCUGUGGGGCAGGCAGCCCAUCGCAGGGGUUGGGGCUGGGUGGGCUUUGAGGUCCCUCCCAGCACAACCAUGCUGUGAUUCUAUGACAUGCUGAGCACAGCCCUAGGUGGCCCUGCUGAAGCCUGGUGGCACUUGGUGACCCCCACAGUCCCAACCACACCGUGAUGUGUUCCCUGGGCAGGAAGGACGUCCCGCAUCCCCUUGUUCCCAAGAGCACGAGCCCAGCACCCAGCACAGCCCACACCCACACUCAGCAACAGCAGUGCUAUCUAUCUGCUGCUUUAUUGGAGCCGCAGAGGGGGAGGCCGGUGGGGACAAGCGGGCAGCCCUGUGGCACAGGCACUAGUUCUUGCCACAUGGGAAGGUGGUGCUGAUCUUCCUGCAGUAGCAGAAGGCGUUGAAGAACCGGCAGUAGCAGGUGGCACAGGGGUCACAGCAGGGGAUCUGGUGGCCCAGGCAGGACUCCAGGAGGCGGACACAGCGGCGAGGGGAGCUCCGCUCCUCCCUGCCUGCAGCUUGCAGGGCCGUGGACAAUGCCUGCGGUUCCAGCAC
rnacentral:lncRNA from 1 species